rnacentral:rRNA from 1 species
AAUAAGCGGAGGAAAAGAAACCAACAGGGAUUCCCUUAGUAACGGCGAGUGAACCGGGAAAAGCUCAAAUUUGAAAUCUGCCAACAGGCCGAGUUGUAAUUUGUAGAUGGCUACACUGCAUAAUAGUAGAUGCUCAAGUUCUUUGGAAAAAGACAUCAUGGAGGGUGACAAUCCCGUGAGGCAUGUUACUAGGAGCAUAUAGUGGGCUUUCUAAGAGUCGAGUUGUUUGGGAAUGCAGCUCAAAGUGCGUGGUGAAUACCAUGUAAAGCUAAAUAUGGACGAGAGACCGAUAGCGAACAAUACUGUGAAGGAAAGAUGAAAAGCACUCCGAAAGGAGAGUGAAAUAGUACGUGAAAUUGUUAAAGUGGAAGGGCUUGAGAUCAGAAUUGGUAGUUUGGGUUCCACGUCCUCUUGGGGGCGUGUACUCCCUUUCCACCGGGCCAGCGGGAGUUUCGUCUCUUGGGUAAAAGCAGUGGAAUGUAGCAGCUUGUCUGUAUUAUAGCCUCUGUUCAUACAAGACGUCGAGAC